rnacentral:rRNA from 1 species
GAUGAACGCUGGCGGCGUGCCUAAUACAUGCAAGUCGAGCGAACGGACGAGAAGCUUGCUUCUCUGAUGUUAGCGGCGGACGGGUGAGUAACAAGUGGAUAACCUACCUAUAAGACUGGGAUAACUUCGGGAAACCGGAGCUAAUACCGGAUAAUAUUUUGAACCGCAUGGUUCAAAAGUGGAAGACGGUCUUGCUGUCACUUAUAGAUGGAUCCGCGCUGCAUUAGCUAGUUGGUAAGGUAACGGCUUACCAAGGCAACGAUGCAUAACCGACCUGAGAGGGUGAUCGGCCACACUGGAACUGAGACACGGUCCAGACUCCUACGGGAGGCAGCAGUAGGGAAUCUUCCGCAAUGGGCGAAAGCCUGACGGAGCAACGCCGCGUGAGUGAUGAAGGUCUUCGGAUCGUAAAACUCUGUUAUUAGGGAAGAACAUAUGUGUAAGUAACUGUGCACAUCUUGACGGUACCUAAUCAGAAAGCCACGGCUAACUACGUG